rnacentral:tmRNA from 1 species
GGGGAUGAAUACGAUUCGACAAGUGAGCACAUUUAAAAACUGCAAGCCGACUUUGAUGAGUAGUCGUUAAACAGAAUCAAAAAAUAAAUGCUGGUUCAAACCGCAUUAAAGAAUUAGAAGGGAUGCUCGCUUCAGUGAAAGCUGAAUUGAAAGCUCUUUCUUUUUCUGGACCUAGUGCCCAACCGCUGUAUUUAGCAGCCUAAGAUACUAGUCCUGUUCAUAUCACUCUUUUCUCAGUGAGAAGGUAUGGGCAUAAACUUAGCUGAGAUUAUAAUAAAGUGCUUUGGUUGGACGCUUUACCGAAUUUAUCAACCUUGAUUAUAUUUUUUCCUGUCGAUUGGAUAAGAAUAUAGUGACUCUUUAAUAAUCGACUACGCUUGUAGAAGUUUUUAUAGUAAUUUCUUGCACUCGAGUUCACUACUCGACAUCUCCACCA